UUCAAACUCCAUUUUUUUUACUAUGGCUUAAUUAUUCAGUUUGACUGAAUUCUUCUUAUCUUGAGAACUUCCUCCGCUUCUUUAUCCGCGCUGACUUCGGCUAAGCUAGCCUGUAUGCUGGCUACACGUUAGCCUAGCUGCUAGCCUUGAGCUCUGCGCUGUUCAGGGAUAAAACGUUUGAGUUGUGCCGAACGAGUCAGCGGGCAGAGAACCGGGUCAUCCUGCUGCUGCUCGUUCACUGGAUGAAAACGGGCAAUUCUAGAGUUUAGUAUAAAUUUAAUUCGCAUUGUACAUACAUAUAGAAUUCCUAGCUGUGUUCAAAGCAAGUCUUAGCUUGGCCUGCCAGACCCCUCAGUUUAAUUCUGCACAGAGAAUUAAACAGAGGGCUCUGAAGAGCCAGGCUAAGCAAGACUGCCCUGUAACCACGCUGACUUUAACAUUGUGACGCGAGUGGGAUCAUUAUAAGUAAUUACUACCUCACCGUUUCCAGGAGAAAACAAAACUAUUCAGUAUUUUCUGUGACAUUUUGAGAGGAAAUCCUUAAUUGAUUUAAAUUGGGUUAUAAAGUUGUGUUGGAGCGUUGUUGUCAACUGUUACGUGUUUAAAAUAUUCCUCUGAAUUAUCAGCAACUAGCAGAUUUUAUUUUCAUUUUAGGUAAAUAUAUUAAUUGUAGGAACUGGAGAAAAUGUCCGGAUUUAAAGUUGUGGAACACUGAGAAACUAUUUUAACCCUUUGAUGUAUGAAUUAUGAAAUCUUCAACCAUGAUUUUUUAAACAUUUUUUUCAUCCAUCUUUAGGUGUGAAUGAAACAAAUUUCAUAUUUACAUAUUUUUUGUAACAUUUAAUUUACACAUAGUUUAUUACAUGUCCACCUCAGUGGGCAGCAUGCAUUCUGAACAUGAAAUAUGUUGGCUUGACUUACUGAAGUCGAAAUGGAGGGGCUCAAAUGCAAUAAAGUCUUCAACAGCUGUGCUUAAUAGUAAAAAUAAAUAAAUAACAGUUUUGAGUACCUUUCCACUGUAGUGACCACUAUGCAUCAAAGGGUUAAAGAGACAAUGUGUAGUAUUUCUCUGGAAAUAUCCAUCAAAAUGCUGCGAUGGACUGGCUCUCUGUCCAGGGUGUACCCCGCCUGAUUGCCCAUUGACCGCUGGAGAUAGGCACCAGCCUUCCUUGCUGAACUAUUUCUGUUGAGAGUUUUAAUGUUUAAAAUCUGUUAGAUUGUUACUGACAGCAGCUACGUUUAAGUUUCUGUUCUGACUGAAUGCUGCUGCAGCAUGGAGGUGUAGUUCUCAGUCAUCCUGGACAUGAUCAUCCUGAGAGUUUUAGCUGAAGACAGCUGCACGUUUCUGGAUAUGUUGGAGACAUUUAGCCUCUCAUCCCAGAGGCUGCUUCCAGACUUUGGGUGUGGUCAGAAACAAACACACUGGUUGUGCUGCAAGUCUUUUUCUUUUUGUCUCCAAAACAUGUUUUUGUCUAAAUGAAGGUGAUGUUGUUGUUCAUAGAAUUAAAAUUCGUGUUGAAGUUAAGAUUAUUUCAUCAAGUAGGACCUGUGGUUAGCUGGCUCAUGUAACACAUGUCAUGUCUUGAAAGAAUCGGAAUCGGGAAUCGAUAGGAACCGGAAUCGAAACAAGGAAUUGGAAUCAGAAUUGUUCAAAAUCAAACGAUGCCCAACCCUAAUCAUAAGCUUUCCAAACAGGGUUCGAAAUAAAAUUUUUGACUCACCGGCCAAGUUGGCUGGUAGAUGAUGAAAAUCUACCGGCCGUGCAUAUUUUUUACCGGCCAAAAUUCUAAAUGAUUUAGAUCUACCUAAAGCAUGUAAUUCUAUAUUAUGUUGAAUCCAAACAGAGAGGAGUGACAAAAUAAUUAAAACAUCAAUUAAUAAGAAAAACAACUCUUUUGUCAUUUUACUCUUUAUUUAUAUUUUAGAGAUAUUUUUAUGAACUCUUUAAUUGAAAUCUAGUCAGACUCCGUGUUUUCUCUGACAUAGCCAUUAGCGCCGAGACCAUGGGUGUCACCAGUAGAGACUCCGAUUGAGCCCGCGACAUGGAUGUGCAGGCAAUAUGGCAUUUGCUGUUUUCAUGUUCUCGAAUAGUCUCAAGCUUCAUUGUCUUAUUUCCUAUGACAAACGGGUUGUUACCGUUCUUCUCUCGAGCGUGCUGGCGGCAAACGGUGCAGCUCAUUUGCGCAGAUUCUGGUUCAUAAUGUAGCCGUUGUCUUACGACUCCGCCAUGUCCAGUUCGCCACUUUUCACAAAAUCUACAGGUUGCCACUGGUCCUGGUGGUUUUUCUUCCAGUUCGACGAGUUUUCUUUUGGAAGGCUGGCUGACUCCAGUUAAAAACCGCCACAUUUCACCGCUAGUUUUAACACGAAGCUAACGGCUAACUUGAUAAACUGAUUGAAUGGGAUAGGUGGAAAUGACGUUGGAUGCGGCGUUCACGUUUCGCGUACGUUUGUGUACGGUGCAUGCAGGCGGGAGGAGUAUCAGAAAUCCAUGGAAGAUGACUGAUAAACAUAACUAAUUUGGUGCAAACAUUUACUCGCUAUGUGGCAGGUAGAGCUCAAAAAUUUACUCGCCAAAUGGAGCAAUUUGCUCGCAUUUGGCGAGUGGCGAGUGUUAAUUUCGGACCCUGUUUCCAACAAGAGGAAACAAUAUCCUGGAUCAGGUCUACUGCAACGUUAAAGGGGCAUACAAAGCUGUUGCAGCUCCACAUUUAGGUCUGUCUGACCACAUUACUGUUGAUCUCAUCCCAGUAUACAGACCACUGAUCUGCAGAUCAAAACCUGCAACCAGGUCUGUUCAGGUCUGGACUGAGGAGGCCUCCUCAGCACUUCAGGACUGUUUUGAGUCCACUCACUGGGACGUAUUUAAAGAGGUCUCAGAUCUUGAGGAUUACACAUCAGCUGUUCUAUCUUAUGUCAAAUUUUGCACUGAUGCCGUUCUACCCACAAAAUGUACUAAAGUUUUUUCUAAUCAGAAGCCACGGAUGGACGGUACUCUGCGCUUCCUACUCAAAGCCCGGGAUGCUGCAUGCAGGGCUGGUGACAGGCUGGCAUAUAGCAAUGCCCGGAGAGACUUGAAAAAAGGAAUACGGCUGGCUAAAUCCAGAUACAGGCAACAUUGAGGAGUACUUUAAGAACAACGAUAUGCAGAACAUGUGGAGGGGACUGAGAACCAUGGCAGACUACAGGAGCACCAGCCAGCAGAUCAGAGAGGAUUCUUCUCUUCCUGACACCCUGAACAGCUGCUUCUCCAGAUUUGACACCAUUAGUGACAGAGUUGCUGCUGCUCCCAUUAAACUGGAGAAGCAGCAGCAGCCCCUGAUCCUGCAGCUCGAUCAGGUCACUUCUUCCCUGAAGAGGAUUAAAAUCAACAAAGCCACAGGACCAGACAUGGUGUCAGGGAGGACCCUGAGGUCAUGUGCUGACCAGCUGGCAGGGGUUUUCACUAGAGCUGAAACAACUAAUCGAUUUAAUCGAUUAUAAUCGAUUAUUAAAAUAGUUAACAACUUUUUUAGUCAUCGAUUAGUUGUUAUUUUACAGCAUAAAGUCUAUUUUUUACCACAAUCUGACAUCGGUUACAAUCUGUUAAAUUUGCCGCCAGUGUGUGGCAGUAAUGAGCCACUGAUCUACCAGUGGGGCCGUAGAAGAAGAAAUUAGCCAAUGAGUGCCCUCGGUUUUCAUGACGUAUCACGUUACUGACGCGCAUCUUGCUGUGAGAGAUGGCGGAUCAACAACAAAUACGGAAGAAAAAUAGAAGCGACAAAACAAGAGAAACCCCGGACAGAAACCUCACGAGUAUGGGAGCACUUCACUAGAUGCCUUGAAAAGACCGGUGACCUACAAAAUAUGCAAAAACCAUGGCACGACGGAAGCACGACGUCCCUAAGUGAACAUUUGAGACGAAAACGUGGGGGCUGAUGCAGCAGAGGAAUGUCCGAAAAAAACAAGCAACGAUGGACAACUACAUGGGGAACAAGACACUCACCCCCAGCAAUGCAUACCACUUACCAACUCUAUUCCAGAUUCUACAUUAUUUUUUAUGGAAUUUACCUCUUAUAUUUUGAUGCCAAAAAAUUAUUCUGGACUGAUAUUUUGCACUGUUUAGCUCAUUUUACACUGCUGACUGUGGUCAUGUGCAAUAAAAUAGAUUGCAGUCAACUGCACAAUUC